rnacentral:rRNA from 1 species
CACGUAGGCGGUAUAUCAAGUUGGGUGUGAAAUUUUAGGGCUUAACCCUGAGAGUGCAUUCAAAACUGAUUAGCUAGAGUACAGUAGAGGAGAGUGGAAUUUUCGGUGUAGUGGUAAAAUACGUAGAUAUCGGAAAGAACACCAGUGGCGAAAGCGACUCUCUGGGCUGUUACUGACGCUGAAGUGCGAAAGCGUGGGGAGCAAACA